rnacentral:misc_RNA from 1 species
AAGUCGUAACAAGGUAACCGUAGGUGAACCUGCGGUUGGAUCAUUAACACAAUGAAGGCCUUUAAGGUCUUUAGUCUUUUGCCCAGGCGAAAGCUUGGGCAAAAACUCACCAAUGUGCACUGUUUCACGUCCCUUCAGCGGUACAAGGUUUAAAAGGGUAGUUUACCUACCCUUCUUUCCUUAUAAGCAUGGGAACUGGCUGACUAAGUUUAGUGAUCAAAUUGGUGGCAAGUGCGGAAGCUCUCGUCGCCCAAAAGGUUGCUGCUGGCUUUUUCAGUGAGUUCCGCCGCCGCUGUAAGCGGAACUUGCGACAUUUUGUCGUGGUUCCAAGUUUACAAACUUUUGCAAAAUACUUUAGUCUUAUCUUGCUUUUGCCUUUGAAGGUGAAAACUAAAUAAUAAACAACUUUUGACAACGGAUCUCUUGGCUCUC